UGGNGGCGUGGAUUAGGCAUGCAAGUCGAGCGAGGAAAGUGGUAGCAAUACUUCUUAUUCGAGCGGCGUAAGGGGCAGUAAUACCUGGGAACGUACCCUCGGGUCGGGGAUAGCUGCUAGAAAUGGCGAGUAAUACCCGAUGAUCUCGAGAGAGCAAAGGCUUGCCGCCCAAGGAGCGGCCCAGGCGAUAUUAGCUAGUUGGUGAGGUAAAGGCUUACCAAGGCAUAGAUGUCUAGCGGGUGUGAGAGCACGACCCGCGCCACUGGCACUGAGACACUGGCCAGACACCUACGGGUGGCUGCAGUCGAGAAUCUUCGGCAAUGAGCGCGAGCUUGACCGAGCGACGCCGCGUGCGGGAUGAAGGCCUUCGGGUUGUAAACCGC
rnacentral:rRNA from 1 species